ensembl:misc_RNA Metazoa_SRP Metazoan signal recognition particle RNA
GCCGGGUGCAGUGGCGCGCGCCUGUAAUCCAAGCUGCUGGGAGGCUGAGGCUGGCGGAUCGCUUGAGUUCAGGGGUUCUGGGCUGCAGUGGACUAUGUCGAUCGGGUGUCCGUGCUAAGUUCGGUAUCGAUAUGGUGCUCCUGGGGGAGCUCGGGACCAUCAGGUCGUCUAAGGAGGGGUGAACCGGCCCAGGUCGGAGACGGAGCAGGUCAAAGCCCCCGUGCCGAUCAGUAGUGGGGUCGCACCUGUGAAUAGACACUGCAGUGCAGCCUGAGCGAUACAGCGAGACUCAGCCUUUU